UGAGCAACCUACCGAAAUGUGGGGAUAGCCGGCCUAACGGCCGAGUAAUACCGCAUACGCUCUCGAUGAGGCAUUUCACUGAGAGGAAACCUACGGGACAUUUCGAGGGCUCGCGGCCUAUCAGCUAGUUGGCGAGGUAACGGCUCACCAAGGCAACGACGGUAGCUGGUCUGAGAGGAUGGCCAGCCACAGUUGGGACUGAGAUACCGGCCCAGACCUCCGUACGGGAGCAG
rnacentral:rRNA from 1 species